rnacentral:tRNA from 1 species
CUAAGUAUCUGAUUCAAGUGAUAGAAUACUUGUCUAGCAAAUAUGAGGCCCUGAGUUCAAACCCCAGUACCUAGA